AACGAACGCUGGCGGCAUGCCUAACACAUGCAAGUCGAACGAGACCUUCGGGUCUAGUGGCGCACGGGUGCGUAACGCGUGGGAACCUGCCCUUAGGUUCGGAAUAACUCCCCGAAAGGGGUGCUAAUACCGGAUAAUGUCUUCGGACCAAAGAUUUAUCGCCUUUGGAUGGGCCCGCGUUGGAUUAGCUAGUUGGUAGGGUAAAAGCCUACCAAGGCGACGAUCCAUAGCUGGUCUGAGAGGAGGAUCAGCCACACUGGGACUGAGACACGGCCCAGACUUCUGGGGGAGGCAGCAAUGGGGAAUACUGGACAGUGGGCGAAAGGCUGAUCCAGCAAUGCCGCGUGAGUGAUUAAGGCCUGAAGGUUGUAAAGCUCUUUUACCCCGGAUGAUAAUGACAGUACCGGGAGAAUAAGCUCCGGCUAACUCCGUG
rnacentral:rRNA from 1 species